CCUACGGGAGGCAGCAGUGAGGAAUAUUGGUCAAUGGACGGAAGUCUGAACCAGCCAAGUAGCGUGCAGGAAGACGGCCCUAUGGGUUGUAAACUGCUUUUGUAUGGGGAUAAAGUCAAUCACGUGUGAUUGUUUGCAGGUACCAUACGAAUAAGGACCGGCUAAUUCCGUGCCAGCAGCCGCGGUAAUACGGAAGGUUCGGGCGUUAUCCGGAUUUAUUGGGUUUAAAGGGAGCGUAGGCCGGAGAUUAAGUGUGUUGUGAAAUGUAGACGCUCAACGUCUGACUUGCAGCGCAUACUGGUUUCCUUGAGUACGCACAACGUUGGCGGAAUUCGUCGUGUAGCGGUGAAAUGCUUAGAUAUGACGAAGAACUCCGAUUGCGAAGGCAGCUGACGGGAGCGCAACUGACGCUGAAGCUCGAAGGUGCGGGUAUCGAACAGGAUUAGAUACCCUGGUAGUC
rnacentral:rRNA from 1 species